GGGUAAUUAGCUCAGUUGGUAGAGCAUUUGCUCGACACGCAAGGGGUCACUGGUUCGAGUCCGGUAUUACCCA
rnacentral:tRNA from 1 species